AAAAUCCUGCGAUGUUCGUUUCGGUUUUAAAGUUGUUUUGAACCAAUGACUGUUUCUAGGGAGACCAACAUUGAAUCGCGGCUGACAUGCCCUCGAAAAGGGAUCUCAAAACCGGUUCUGCGGACACCCACCUGCGAGAGCGGGUUUGAGACACUAAACCGGACGGCAUAUGCGGGUUUUUU
rnacentral:other from 1 species